GAGCGCUGGAGACGGGUGGUGCAUGGUUGUCGUCAGCUCGUGUCGUGAGAUGUUGGGUUAAGUCCCGCAACGAGCGCAACCCUUAUUCUUAGUAGCCAGCAGGUAAAGCUGGGCACUCUAGGGAGACUGCCAGGGAUAACCUGGAGGAAGGUGGGGAUGACGUCAAAUCAUCAUGCCCCUUAUGAUUUGGGCUACACACGUGCUACAAUGGCGUAAACAAAGGGAGGCGAAGCCGCGAGGUAGAGCGAACCCCAAAAAUAACGUCUCAGUUCGGAUUGCAGGCUGCAACUCGCCUGCAUGAAGCCGGAAUCGCUAGUAAUCGCAGAUCAGCAUGCUGCGGUGAAUACGUUCCCGGGUCUUGUACACACCGCCCGUCACACCAUGGGAGUCGAUAACGCCCGAAGUCAGUGACCCAACCGUAAGGAGGGAGCUGCCGAAGGCGGGAUUGAUAACUGGGGUGAAGUCGUAACAAGGUAGCCGUAUCGGAAGGUGCGGUUGGAUCACCUC
rnacentral:rRNA from 1 species